AAGUCGAGGGGUAACAGGGAUUGCUUGCAAUCCGCUGACGACCGGCGCACGGGUGCGUAACGCGUAUGCAACCUACCUUCUACAGGGGGAUAGUCAAUAGAAAUGUUGAAUAAUACCCCAUACGAUCUUUGAAUAGCAUUAUUUAAAGAAGAAAGUUCCGGCGGUAGAAGAUGGGCAUGCGUCCUAUUAGUUAGUUGGAGAGGUAACGGCUCCCCAAGACAUCGAUAGGUAGGGGUCCUGAGAGGGAGACCCCCCACACUGGUACUGAGACACGGACCAGACUCC
rnacentral:rRNA from 2 species